GAUGGCUCGGUUGGUUAAAGUGUGGUGCUGAUCACGCCAAAGUUGCAGGUUCGAUCCCCGUAAGAGACA